rnacentral:rRNA from 1 species
ACCAAGUAUAGGAGGUCCAGCCUGCCCAGUGACCAUAAGUUCAACGGCCGCGGUAUUUUGACCGUGCAAAGGUAGCGUAAUCACUUGUCUCUUAAAUAGAGACCUGUAUGAAUGGCCAAACGAGGGCUUAACUGUCUCCCUUUUCAAGUCAGUGAAAUUGAUCUGCCCGUGCAGAAGCGGGCAUGAUAAUACAAGACGAGAAGACCCUUUGGAGCUUAAGGUACAAAACUCAACCACGUCAAGCAACUUAAUAUAAAGCAAAAACUUUGUGGAGUAUGAGACUCUACCUUCGGUUGGGGCGACCACGGAGGAAAAAAAAUCCUCCAAGCGGACUGGGACAAACUCCUAAAACCAAGAGAGACAUCUCUAAGCCACAGAACAUCUGACCAAACACGAUCCGGCUCAAUUCAGCCGAUCAACGAACCAAGUUACCCUAGGGAUAACAGCGCAAUCCCCUCCCAGAGUCCAUAUCGACGAGGGGGUUUACGACCUCGAUGUUGGAUCAGGACAUCCUAAUGGUGCAACCGCUAUUAAGGGUUCGUUUGUUCAACGAUUAAAGUCCU